GUUUAAAUUAAAAGACCGUGCUCUUAUUGUAGAAGUACUGAAAUGUUCACAAUUGCGUCAACUAAUUUUGUGAAUUAGAGUUAUCCUCCUUUUGCCCAGUUUUGGAACAACAGCGUUGUCUAUAGAAGGCCACAAUUAUAUACUUGUAUGCAAAAAUGUAUAUCAAUUUCAAAAGACUUGUAUAACAACAACAACGACAAUACUUUAUAUAAGAAAUCAAACAAAUUUAUUUGUAGGCUUUCCGCUGACGAAUCAUAAUAGUUUGCAGAUUCUGAAAUGGACUGAUAACAAACUUCAUCAAAGAUACCAGAACAGUCCUUCAACGUCGUCAAAACACCUCGUACA
rnacentral:lncRNA from 1 species